GACAGAGGGUGCAAACGUUGUUCGGAAUUACUGGGCGUAAAGCGAGUGUAGGCGGUCUGCUAAGUCGGGUGUGAAAGCCCCGGGCUCAACCCGGGAAGUGCACUCGAAACUGGCAGGCUAGAGUAUCGGAGAGGUUGGUGGAAUUCUCGGUGUAGAGGUGAAAUUCGUAGAUAUCGAGAGGAACACCGGUGGCGAAGGCGGCGACCUGGACAGUAACUGACGCUGAGACGCGAAAGCGUGGGUAGCAAACAGG
rnacentral:rRNA from 1 species